AUGGGGUGCAGCAGGCGCGAAAACUCCGCAAUGCACGAAAGUGUGACGGGGUCAGCCCGAGUGCCAACCGAAAACGUUGGCUUUUCACCAGCCCAAACAACUGGUGGAAUAAGGGGAGGGCAAGGCUGGUGCCAGCCGCCGCGGUAAAACCAGCUCCUCGAGUAGUCAAGACGAUUAUUGGGCCUAAAGCGUCCGUAGCCGGCCUAGUAAGUCUCUGGUUAAAUCUAACGGCUCAACCGCUAGGCUGCUAGAGAUACUGCCAGACUCGGAGGCGGGAUAGGUCGAGGGUACUCUCAGGGUAGGGGUGAAAUCCUAUAAUCCUGAGGGGACCACCAGUGGCGAAGGCGCUCGACUGGAACGCGCUCGACGGUGAGGGACGAAAGCUAGGGGAGCGAACCGGAUUAGAUACCCGGGUAGUCCUAGCUGUAAACGAUGUGGACUAAGUGUUAGGGCGGCCACGAGCUGUCCUAGUGCUGGAGGGAAGCCGUUAAGUCCACCGCCUGGGGAGUACGGCCGCAAGGCUGAAACUUAAAGGAAUUGGCGGGGGAGCACA
rnacentral:rRNA from 1 species